rnacentral:lncRNA from 1 species
CGCUAAAUAAUUAAGAAAAAUGUUAUUUUCACACUCAUAUGCUUACUAUAUAUUAUAUGAUGAUAUAUUAGUGAUAAAAAGAGAUACUAAAUUUCUUUGUAGAGAAUUUGAUACAUAUUAUCUACGUUCUAAGUUGAACUUUAAGAUUAUGAAAGUUCUUCUUCUUCUUUUUUUAUAAAAGAUUGCCGAGUCAUUUUUGUUUAAUGAGAGGAUUAAGAAAAUAAGAUUUGAAUGAAUAAUAGAAAAUGAUGAACGUUGAAAUAUCAUUGUUGAAACAUAAACAACAUAGCUAUAUUAUAUGAUUGGAAGAAUAAAUAAAAGGAUAUGCAUGGAAGAUACUUGGG